GCCGAUGAUGAAUUUCGGUCGCGCUGAAGGGUGAUGAAAUUUCCUGCGGCUGAGGU
rnacentral:snoRNA from 1 species